rnacentral:lncRNA from 1 species
GAAGUCGCCCUGCAAGGCGUGUGUGUGAUCGCGCACCUGCCGGGGUCCUGCAUGGCAUCACCAGUAUCCCUAUAAGAGAGAGGCAGAGGAAGGACAAGCGCAGUGACUCACACCUGUAAUCCCAGCACUUUGGGAGGCCGAGGCUGGCAGAUCCCUUGAGCCCAGGAGUUCGCAACCAGCCUGGCCAACAUGGUGAAACCCCAUCUCUACUAAAAAUACAAAAAUUUGCCAGGUGUGGUGGUGCAUGCCUGUAAUCCCUGCUACUCAGGAGGCUGAGGCAAAAGAAUUGCUUGAACCUGGGAGGCGGAGGUUGCAGUGAGCUGGGAUCAUACCACUGCACUCCAGCCUGGGCAACAGAGCAAGACUCUGUCUCAAAAAAAAAAAAAAAAAAAAAAAAAAAAAAAAA